CCUCCGCAGGCAGAGAACAAGUGGUACACCCCCAUCAAGGGUCGUCUCGAUGCUUUGUGGGCUCUGCUUCGGCGACAGUAUGACCGAGUCUCCCUCAUGCGUCCCACCUCGGCAGACAAGGGUCGGUGUAUGAACUUCAACAGAGUUCCACAUCAGUAGACGACGGAUGGAAGCCACCGCUGUGGACCAGAAGAAGAAGAAUUCAGGUUUUUGAAGAUCCGUGAUCCUGCCGCUCAAACCACUAUCUGAUCACCUGGCUCUUAUCGGACACGGGGGUUUCCUCUUCGGUGUUCUGUUCUCUGAUCACAGGGUGGAACGUCUGUCUAAACUCCAUUAACUUAUUUGUUUCCUUUCCUGACUGCACCGCCACCUGUGUUUCCUACAGUACUUAAAAGUCCAGGCGUCCCUGAACGCAGCGCUCACACUCAGUUAGCUUUUUAUGCACACCAAAGGGUUAAAAUAUUCCACCACAUUUUACAUGUUUAUGUGCCUUUUUGUAAAUUUAUGCCUUUUUAUACCAAAAAAGUAUUUUUGUAUUUCUAAAUCUGAUAAAUUAAGUUCUUCUGAAUUAACAAUAAUCUUGAAUUUUUCAAGAAUUAAUAAACUUUAGACGAGUUUUUUAGCUUUAGCAGUAAAAACACAACUUUUUUUAUUCUCUUUUUAGUUGAAAAUGCAUUAUAAAUACACUCACAUCAAUUUAUGCAAAAGCAUUUACAGGAUGCAUUUCCAGUGUUUUUAUAUUUCUACCAAAUGUUGUCUGUAAUGUGAUGCAUGCACUACUUUCAGCCUAAAACUAAUGUUAUCAGUUCAUUUAUUGUAAAAUUCCAGGCGUCCCUGAACGCAGCGCUCACACUCAGUUAGCUUUUGUGCACCAAAGGGUUAAAAUAUUCUAUCACAUUUUACAUGUUUGUGUGCCUUUCUGUAAAUUCAUGCCUUUUUAUAUGAAAACAAGUAUUUUUGUAUUUCUAAAUCUGAUAAAUUAAGUUCUCCUGAAUCAACAACAAUCUUGACUUUUUCAAGAAUUAAUAAACUUCAGACAAGUUUUUUUAACUUUACCAGUAAAAACUAAACUUUUUGUUUAUUCUCUUUUUAUUUGAAAAUGCAAAAUAAAUACACUCACAUCAAAUUCUGCAAAAGUGUUUACAAGAUGCUUUUCUAGUGUUUUUACUUAUUAAUAACGUUUGUUUAACAAAACUAUAAGGGUGGGGGGGUGGCUUAUGGUCCAGGUGGUACCUCAAAAGAAAAAUGAAUAAAUACAUGAGAAAUGAAAAUACAUCCAGGUAAAAAAAAA